AUUGCAGUUCCCUGUAAAACCAAGCAGAAAUUCCAGCAGAAUUUAGAUAAUUUGAAUACAGCAACUCUGUAACCAAUGCAAUUAAAUUAGUUUUACAGGGAACUGCAAUACUUGGGAACUAAAUGUGUCAAUUCAACUCCAUGACUGUCAGCUUAUAGAUAUUAGGAAAUUACAAUACAGCUAUACAACAAAUUUCUUAAUUCAUAGAACUUACUCAGCUAGAGAUUCUUGUGAUUUCUCCCG
rnacentral:misc_RNA from 1 species